rnacentral:rRNA from 1 species
CGAUUAAUUCGUAUAAAGUUCUAAAUAGAAUAAUGAUAAUGACAAUUUUCUAUUUAUAAGUCUUGACCAAAUUACGUGCCAGCAGUCGCGGUAAUACGUAGAAGACUAGUGUUAGUCAUCUUUAUUAGGUUUAAAGGGUACCUAGACGGUAAAUAACACUUAAAUCGAGUACUUAUUUACUAGAGUUUUAUGUGAGAAGAAAGAACUUCUGGAGUAGUGAUAAAAUACUUUGAUACCAGAGGGACUGGUUACGGCGAAGGCGUUCUUCUAUGUAAAAACUGACGUUGAGGGACGAAGGCUUGGGGAGCAAUAAGGAUUAGAUACCCUAGUAGUCCAAGCAGAAAAUGAUGAAUGUCAUAGGCUAGGUAUCAAACUUAGCCUAUAAAUGAAAGUGUAAGCAUUCCACCUCAAGAGUACUAUGGCAACAUAUAAACU